CAAGAUCACAAGACUUGUUUUGAGCGUCUGUCAUCUUUAAUUUUACGGCACUUCAUUUCAGAGUAGGACUGCCAGGGUCACAUGCAAUUAAAACACAGGCAAGAUUUGUCUUGUGAAAUCUUAACAUAAAAAGUAAUGUGUUACUCCAUUUUAACUUUUCUACUGAACUCUGUGAACUCACUAAUUACUUUUCCCCCCUCUUGUCACCUUUUUGAUAUGACAUGUAUUUUAUAGAGGAGAUAGAAGUUUGGAUUUUUUUUUUUGUAUCAUGCAUACGAUUGAGGAUAACAAAAUUAAACCAGAGAAAAAAGAAAUUCGUUUUUCAGAAAUGCAUUUUUUAAAAAAGACAUAUCUGAGUACUCCAGCUUCAAUUACAAAGAACCUCAUUGAUCGAAUUCUAGGAAAUAACUGUUAAUCUGCUUAACUAGGGCAGGUAGAAGUAUAAUAACGGACCAACGAUUUUAUGCAGGCCAGAAUGGUGAACCAGAGUUUAUUCUCUGGGGUGCGGGGCAAAGGGGCUUUUAUGUGAUUGGCUGUGAAAAGUAUUAAAAACCGGCGCCAACGUGGAGAUUUGGAGCGCAAGGAGGCUUGUUCCAUCUUAGUGAUCAGUAAAUUGCAUAGACCCUUAUUAACCUUAUUGAUAAGGAGCUUAGGGAAGUCCCAUUCAGGCCGCAAUAUAUUCUUCUUUUUGUUCUCCUGUCUCCGCCUGCGAUCCCAGCCGCUUUGUAAGCAGAGCCUUUAUGCUGCGCCUCAAAAUUCAGCGCUGGCCCGCGGUCCCCUGACUCUCCUCAGCAGCGGAGCACCUCUAUCAUUUUCCUUUCAGUCAAGGAGGCUUGACUUUGACUGAGGGGCACAUCAUGACAGAUUUGUGCACUCGCAGUACAAAUAGAUGCUGAAGCAGAGGAAAGAAUCUGAAUACUCAAGGGAAUCCCAUUAGUGGAAUAUUUGCGAGGGAAAAAAAGGUAGGGUCUAGCAAUACAGAGCAGAAAUGAAACUGUGCAAAAUGUCACCAAAUGAUGUGGAAAAAUCCACACUUCUUCAAGCAUGCUGUGCAAUAUGGACUCAGAACACACUUUGCUGGUGAUGUGAGAAUGGUUAGCACAAGUCCUGCUCUUCAAAUGUGAGUGUGCCUGUCUCAAAUAAACUUGUCAGCUUAAAUGGUGCCA
rnacentral:lncRNA from 1 species